rnacentral:rRNA from 1 species
GACAGAGGUGCCGAGCGUUAGGCGGAAUCACUGGGCUUAAAGCGUGUGUAGGCGGACCGUUAAGUACCUUGUGAAAUCCCCCGGCUCAACCGGGGAACGGCUGGGUAUACUGGCGGUCUUGAGCCAUUCAGGGGCAGUCGGAACAGACGGUGGAGCGGUGAAAUGCGUAGAUAUCGUCUGGAACGCCGAAGGUGAAAACAGACUGCUGGGGAUGAGCUGACGCUGAGACACGAAAGCCAGGGGAGCGAACGGG